UAUGGCUAUAUCAUGUUGAAGACUCAGUUCUCGUAUGAUCACUGAAGUUAAGCAGUGGUGAGCCUGGUCAGUAACUACAUGGGUGACUGCUUAGGAAUACCAGGUGGUGUAAG